GGGGAUCAAAGUGUGAUUUUCAGAAUUAUUUCAUGCAAUGAUCAUGCAGCUACGUGAGAAACUUGAUUCUGCAAACAUAAAAUGAAUGCUGGCUGCAUUGUCAUUUCUGAACUUAGAUUUAUGCAUUUCAACUUCACCAAAUUUGAUCGAGCUCUCUCAACCAAACAUCCGAAGAAUUAACUAAGCCACAUAACAUACAAUUUUAAAAUCCGAACAAACCAAGAUUACUGGAGAAAAAAGAAAAAAAAAAAACAUGCAAACAAAAGGAUAAUUUUAUACAAACAAGUUCUGCAAUCAAAACAUGACUUGACUGGCCCUUAAACCCAAGUGUUCAACCUCAACAUUGGACCCUCUAUUU
rnacentral:lncRNA from 1 species